rnacentral:sRNA from 1 species
CUCGCUUUCAUUAGCCGCGAGAAGAGUGG